rnacentral:rRNA from 1 species
GAGUUUGAUCUUGGCUCAGAACGAACGCUGGCGGCAUGCCUAACACAUGCAAGUCGAACGGGAUCCAUCCUUCGGGAUGGUGAGAGUGGCGGACGGGUGAGUAACGCGUGGGAACCUGCCCAAUGGUCUGGGAUAACCGCGGGAAACUGCGGCUAAUACCGGAUAAGCCCGAGAGGGGAAAGAUUUAUCGCCGAUGGAGGGGCCCGCGUCCGAUUAGGUAGUUGGUGAGGUAACGGCUCACCAAGCCUUCGAUCGGUAGCUGGUCUGAGAGGAUGAUCAGCCACACUGGGACUGAGAUACGGCCCAGACUCCUACGGGAGGCAGCAGUGGGGAAUAUUGGACAAUGGGGGCAACCCUGAUCCAGCAAUGCCGCGUGAGUGAUGAAGGCCUUAGGGUUGUAAAGCUCUUUUGCCGGGGUACGAUGAUGACGGUACCCGGAGAAUAAGCCCCGGCUAACUUCGUGCCAGCCGCCGCCGUAAU